UCUGUGGAUGUGCUGUCAGUGUAUAUAUAGAUAGUCAUCUAAUGGCAGGGGGUAAAUAGUGAAGCACAUCACAUACUCCAUACUUUGUUAAAUUUCUCCAGGCAUCACCUUCCUUUAUAAAUUGUUCUAUUAAAAGGGAUAAUCGAAA